AUAUCAGUCAUGCAUAGCAUAUCAAUAAGCGGAGGAAAAGAAACUAACAAGGAUUCCCUUAGUAACGGCGAGUGAAGCGGGAAGAGCUCAAAUUUGAAAUCUUCAAGGUUCUACCUUGACGAAUUGUAGUUUAUAGAAGUGUUUUCUGUUAGUAGAGUGGCAAAAGUUCUUUGGAAUAGGACAUCAUAGAGGGUGAGAAUCCCGUAUUUGAUCACUUUCUACUAGCUUUGUGAUACACUUUCAAAGAGUCGGAUUGUUUGGGAAUGCAGUCCAAAGUGGGUGGUGAAUUUCAUCUAAAGCUAAAUAUUGGCGAGAGACCGAUAGCGAACAAGUACCGUGAGGGAAAGAUGAAAAGAACUUUGAAAAGAGAGUUAAACAGUACGUGAAAUUGUCAAAAGGGAAGCGUUUGACACCAGUGUUGUUUUUCCGAAAAUCAAUUACGAAUGUUUUAUUUUUGAGGAGUUAUGACUUCAUCGGCUUGCUCCUUUCUUUACGAAACUUUCUUAAUGCACUUUUCGGUUAACAAGUCAACAUCAAUUUCUUUUGUUGUAAAAGGGUAUGAGGAAGGUGGCUUUCUUUUCGGAGAAAGUGUUUAUAGCCUUGUAGCCUCUGCAAUCGGAGAGAUUGAGGUCUGCAGCGUAGAUCCUUCGGGGUUAGAUACAGUUUGUGCUAAGUUAUAGCUUUUCAUAGACAACUUGUUGACUAUGUUAAGUCUUGUAGCUUACUCGCUUAUGCUAUUUUACCUACGCUUAGGAUGUUGAUCUCUCACAGUCGAGC
rnacentral:rRNA from 1 species